GCCCGGGUGGCGGAAUUGGCAGACGCACCAGCUUGAGGUGCUGGCGAGUAACAUCGUGCAGGUUCGAGUCCUGUCCCGGGCA
rnacentral:tRNA from 1 species